rnacentral:lncRNA from 1 species
GGGAGGAGGUGGAGGGGCGGGGAAAGAGGGAGGAGAAAGCAACAGAGAGGAAGAUGCUAUAGACAAGGAUUCUUCUAGGGGAAACCGAGGCCGACCACUCCAUGAAAAACGACGUUGCUCCUUCCCUUCUUUGCGGAGUUGGGGGCUGAAGACAUGGAUCGCUGUAUCCCAUUCUCAUUUGACAGAUGAGAAAAAUGGAGGCCAACAGGAUGAAGUGACACACAGCAAGUAAGUAUCUGAGAUUGCUUUUGAACUCAGGUCUCCCCAAAUCUAGGUUUGGCAUUCUAUCUACCCUGUACCCAGCUGCCCCCUGAAGGCAGAGGAUCUGGGUUCAGCUACACCCCCUGAUAUUUCCUACUUCUGUGUUCUUAGGUAAGUCACCUAACUUACCUGUGCUUAAUUUUUCCAGUAAAUCAGCUUGCUUUCUUUUGAUUCACUGUGCCCCUUUCCUUUUAACGUCUCAAAAGUUCUGAAUUUGCCCACCCCUCCUUACCUGUACUCACAGGGGGUCUGCAGCACCCUGGGUGGGAUCCUAACUGUCCAAAUUUGGAGAUAGCCUUUUGUUCUGGGGGAGCUUUUUUAUAUCUGGGGAGAGGGGCUUACCUAGGCAGUUGCUGUGGGGUGGGUCAGUUGCUGUGGGUCAUCCCACAGGGGAUGGGGUCUUGGAGGUGGGA